CAACAACCUACACAUGACUGAUUUCAUGGCCAUUGCAAAAGGGGCUCUCUCCCCAGUCCAUUUCAAGGGACAAUAAAUGAAAAAUUCACACAUGCCUGUCAAGUCCAUACCAGAGGCAAGUUCACGUUCCAGGCUGCAUCAGAAACAGGUAAGAAAUGUGACCAUCUAUUGCAAGAGGGACACUCCUCCUUUCUCCUCAUGUUCUGUUCAUCUACUCUUCUAGACAUCAGGAUUAAACAAAGGCAAAGAUUACAAAUGAAAAUUGGGCUGUUUACAGUAAGAACUAGAGCACAACCAUCAACUGGAUGUUCACCUUCCCACCUGUGAAAGGGAACUGAAGAGUUCUAGGAUGACCGUAUCUUAAACAGUUGGGUUUCCACCUCUUCUCCUGCUUCUUCCACACAAAGCCUGCAAUCUAGUCCCAAAAGACUGUAACAAAGAUGCACAAACAGGGCAGGAAGUAGUGAAUUAUUUUAAAAUGUUUGUUCAGACUCAUUUACAGAUGCUUGAAAAAUGUUCAUUGUUAAGUCAGAGGAUUUACUGAAUGAACAGAAAACUGCCCCAACUACAGCUGUUUAAAACACAGAAUUCCCAUCCCACCAGAAAAUCCAAUAUUUUGACAUUUGUUUUCUUGCUGAAACUAAAUAAAAAGUCAAAAUAUGAAAA